rnacentral:rRNA from 1 species
AGUGAACGCUGGCGGCAGGCCUAACACAUGCAAGUCGAGCGGCAGCGCGUCCGACCACCCUCGGGUGGUCGGAUGGCGGCGAGCGGCGGACGGGUGAGGAAUGCAUCGGAAUCUGCCUCGUUGUGGGGGAUAACGUAGGGAAACUUACGCUAAUACCGCAUACGACCUACGGGUGAAAGUGGGGGACCUUCGGGCCUCACGCGAUGAGAUGAGCCGAUGCCGGAUUAGCUAGUUGGCGGGGUAAAGGCCCACCAAGGCGACGAUCCGUAGCUGGUCUAAGAGGAUGAUCAGCCACACUGGAACUGAGACACGGUCCAGACUCCUACGGGGGGCAGCAGUGGGGAAUAUUGGACAAUGGGGGCAACCCUGAUCCAGCCAUGCCGCGUGUGUGAAGAAGGCCUGG